CCUUCGAUCUGUAAAUUCAAACCAUGAACUGCAGUCCACAGGCCACCUUCUGUUUGCGUUAAUGACGUUGAUGGGCUCCAGAGGCGGGCUUCGGGCACCGUGAGUGAGGCAGGACCGGGCCGGGACACAUCCGUAUGUAGCCUGGCUUUGUUUAAUGUCUUCCUUUUUUGUAUAUCUUUGCGGGGGAGGGGAGCUUGGUUUUUUUUGUUUUUGGGGGUGUUUUUUGCAUUUUGAUUUUUUUUAAAGUUGCGUUAGAAUGGUAUCUAUCUUGAUGACAGUAUUUUCUGUGCCUGAGGGAAUGCCUCCCUGACCUCUCCCUAGUCCCAGCCCCACUGGAAGGGCUCCAGAGGGCUCCGUGUGGCCACGUGGAAAAAGCAAGAGCCCAGAAAGGACACUGCCCUGCGUCUAAACCCCACUUCUGUUUCCUCCUGGCUUCGUGGCUUUGGGCAGUGGCCUGAGCUCUGGGAGCCUCAGGCUCCCCACCGCAAAAUGGGGCCGGGGGGCUCGUACCACCAGCUGGCAGGGAUCCUGUGGGGAUUAAAUGAGAUUAUAGACACAGAAGCUCUUUGGAGGGCUGAUCAAUAGUAGCUAAGCGAAGUCAUGUCCAGACCCACGGCAUGGAGGCAGAGGAGAUGCCGGGAAAGCCUGGGACAGGCUGAGGGGCGCUGUCGCCAGUGACUCUCCAGAUGGCUCUGGGGGACGCAGAUGGGCUGAGAAGAUCCACGACAGUCAGGGGAAGGAGCCCCUGGAGGGCGAGCCUUGGGGGCAACGCGUCUCACAACCGCAGAGGUGCCAACACACGGCGACCGUAGAUCGUCGGCUUUAUCGCCUCCUCUGUGCUGUCAGCACAUUAUUAGCCCUUCCUGUGAGGGGAGACCCGGGACUGAGCACUUCACUGGAAUCUGAAGACCUUGCUUCUCCCAGGUCAACGCCCUCCACCAACCAGCCUUCUGCCCAUCCGUCGUCCGCCUGAACCAGCGACCUUUUCAAAGAGCCCAGGGGGGGAGGGGCGGCCUCCAGGAAGUCGGGCUGCUGGGGGUUCAGUGUUGUGCCGAGGUCUGAUUUCAGCAAGGAAAUUGGCCAAGUCAGAUUGCAGGAUGUCAGAG